rnacentral:rRNA from 1 species
UACGUAGGGUGCAAGCGUUGUCCGGAAUUAUUGGGCGUAAAGGGCUUGUAGGCGGUUUGUCGCGUCUGCUGUGAAAUUUCGGGGCUCAACCCCGGACUUGCAGUGGGUACGGGCAGACUAGAGUGUGGUAGGGGAGACUGGAAUUCCUGGUGUAGCGGUGAAAUGCGCAGAUAUCAGGAGGAACACCGAUGGCGAAGGCAGGUCUCUGGGCCACUACUGACGCUGAGAAGCGAAAGCAUGGGGAGCGAACAGG